rnacentral:rRNA from 1 species
CCUACGGGAGGCAGCAGUGAGGAAUAUUGGUCAAUGGACGAGAGUCUGAACCAGCCAAGUAGCGUGAAGGAUGACUGCCCUAUGGGUUGUAAACUUCUUUUAUAUGGGAGUAAAAUGUUCCACGUGUGGGAUUUUGUAUGUACCAUAUGAAUAAGGAUCGGCUAACUCCGUGCCAGCAGCCGCGGUAAUACGGAGGAUCCGAGCGUUAUCCGGAGUUAUUGGGUUUAAAGGGAGCGUAGGUGGAUUGUUAAGUCAGUUGGUCAAGUUUGCGGCUCAACCGUAAAAUUGCAGUUGAAACUGGCAGUCGUGAGUACAGUAGAGGUGGGCGGAAUUCGUGGUGUAGCGGUGAAAUGCUUAGAUAUCACGAAGAACUCCGAUUGCGAAGGCAGCUCACUGGACUGCAACUGACACUGAGGCUCGAAAGUGUGGGUAUCAAACAGGAUUAGAUACCCCAGUAGUC